rnacentral:rRNA from 1 species
AUUGAACGCUGGCGGCAUGCCUUACACAUGCAAGUCGAACGGUAACGCGGGGCAACCUGGCGACGAGUGGCGAACGGGUGAGUAAUGUAUCGGAACGUGCCCAGUUGUGGGGGAUAACUGCUCGAAAGAGCAGCUAAUACCGCAUACGACCUGAGGGUGAAAGCGGGGGAUCGCAAGACCUCGCGCAAUUGGAGCGGCCGAUAUCAGAUUAGGUAGUUGGUGGGGUAAAGGCUCACCAAGACAACGAUCUGUAGCUGGUCUGCGAGGACGACCAGCCACACUGGGACGGAGACACGGCCCAGACUCCUACGGGAGGCAGCAGUGGGGAAUUUUGGACAAUGGACGCAAGUCUGAUCCAGCCAUGCCGCGUGCGGGAAGAAGGCCGUCGGGUUGUAAACCGCUUUUGUCAGGGAAGAAACGCUCUGGGUUAAUACCUCGGGGUAAUGACGGUACCUGAAGAAUAAGCACCGGCUAACUACGUGCCAGCCGCCGCUGUAACAC